rnacentral:rRNA from 1 species
AGUGAACGCUGGCGGUAGGCCUAACACAUACAAGUCGAACGGCAGCACAGUAAGAGCUUGCUCUUACGGGUGGCGAGUGGCGGACGGGUGAGGAAUACAUCGGAAUCUACUUUUUCGUGGGGGAUAACGUAGGGAAACUUACGCUAAUACCGCAUACGACCUACGGGUGAAAGCAGGGGAUCUUCGGACCUUGCGCGAUUGAAUGAGCCGAUGUCGGAUUAGCUAGUUGGCGGGGUAAAGGCCCACCAAGGCGACGAUCCGUAGCUGGUCUGAGAGGAUGAUCAGCCACACUGGAACUGAGACACGGUCCAGACUCCUACGGGAGGCAGCAGUGGGGAAUAUUGGACAAUGGGCGCAAGCCUGAUCCAGCCAUACCGCGUGGGUGAAGAAGGCCUUCGGGUUGUAAAGCCCUUUUGUUGGAAAAGAAAAGCAGCAGGUUAAUACCCCGCUGUUCUGACGGUACCCAAAGAAUAAGCACCGGCUAACUUCGUG